GGGUGAGUAAUGCAUAGGAAUCUGCCCGGUAGUGGGGGAUAACCUGGGGAAACCCAGGCUAAUACCGCAUACGUCCUACGGGAGAAAGCAGGGGAUCUUCGGACCUUGCGCUAUCGGAUGAGCCUAUGUCGGAUUAGCUUGUUGGUGAGGUAAUGGCUCACCAAGGCGACGAUCCGUAGCUGGUCUGAGAGGAUGAUCAGCCACAUCGGGACUGAGACACGGCCCGAACUCCUACGGGAGGCAGCAGUGGGGAAUAUUGGACAAUGGGCGAAAGCCUGAUCCAGCCAUGCCGCGUGUGUGAAGAAGGCUUUCGGGUUGUAAAGCACUUUCAGUGAGGAAGAAGGCCUUGGGGCUAAUACCCCCGAGGAAGGACAUCACUCACAGAAGAAGCACCGGCUAACUCCGUGCCAGCAGCCGCGGUAAUACGGAGGGUGCGAGCGUUAAUCGGAAUUACUGGGCGUAAAGCGCGCGUAGGCGGCGUGAUAAGCCGGUUGUGAAAGCCCCGGGCUCAACCUGGGAACGGCAUCCGGAACUGUCAGGCUAGAGUGCAGGAGAGGAAGGUAGAAUUCCCGGUGUAGCGGUGAAAUGCGUAGAGAUCGGGAGGAAUACCAGUGGCGAAGGCGGCCUUCUGGACUGACACUGACGCUGAGGUGCGAAAGCGUGGGUAGCAAACAGGAUUAGAUACCCUGGUAGUCCACGCCGUA
rnacentral:rRNA from 1 species